CCUUAUCACUUUUCCAGCCCAGCUUUGUGACUGUAAGUGUUGGACGGAGAACUGAUAAGGGU
rnacentral:pre_miRNA from 1 species